UUUUCAUGAUGAUUUCAAUUAUCACCAUCUUUCGACUGAGUCGUUGUGCUGUUAACUUUUAAAUCUGAUAUUUAUU